CCAAUGAUUGGGAACCAGUUGAGGUUGAUAGAUCUCCUGGUUGCUAAAAUCAAAUACCCAUCUUUGUGCACCUUUUUUAUGUCUCUGGUGGUCGCAAGAGAAGUCUCUUAUUUAGAGGAUCUCUUCUAGUUCAUUUUGAUCCUCGGACAAAUGAAUGAAGCCACCAAAUGGUUGCUAUAACACACUUUUUUGCCGUCCAAAAUAUCUGUCUAACAUUGAUUUGUGUAAAAUACAUAAAA
rnacentral:misc_RNA from 1 species